rnacentral:rRNA from 1 species
UCUAUGGAGAGUUUGAUCUUGGCUCAGGACGAACGCUGGCGGCGUGCCUAAUACAUGCAAGUCGAGCGCGGGAAGCAAGCAGAUCUCCUUCGGGAGUGACGCUUGUGGAACGAGCGGCGGACGGGUGAG